UUUUCAUCUCGCUGACAAAAAAUUAAUUUUAGCUUCCUAUUAUGUCAUACAAACAAUAUUUCUGUUACCUCUUCCUCUCACGUUGCUGUCAGCCCAGGUUGAAUAUUGAUUCCCAGACCACACGGAAGAGGAAACCCACACGGCGAAGUUCAGAAGCGUCCUGUUAGCGUAAAUGGCCGUUAAACCAGAAAGCUCCUACAUGCCGGAGCCCGGAGCUCCACUUCGCAGGUUUUUACCCUCAAGUCGCGCUGAUUAUCCUGGGAUGACAGGUUUAAAAGGAGAAGAAGCCUCAUCUGUUGAUCUUCAUCUGUUGCUAAGUGCCUGGGAUAGACGACAGAGUGACUUCACUGUUUUCCAUGGACUAAGAUGAAUUAUUGACUAAAAUGCUCCCAAGCUAGGGAUGGUGUGGAAUUGAGCUGAAAGAGUGAGCUCCUCCUUUGACAUUCAUCUCAUAAAAAUAUGUGAGCUGCAUCUCCAUUAAAGGUUGGUGAAGAUUCAACCAUGCACAUCUUUCACCUUGGCCAUUCUAAAGGAAGACAGAAAGACACUAACAUCAGCUGUGUUCUAUUAUGCUUUCUUUCUAUUGAAUUGCCAUUAAAGCUCAGUAUCUUAAACUCAAGAGUUUGGGGACAACUUAAAGUUAAAUGGUGAUAAACUUGAAGCAUGGUAGAUAUUUGCUAGCUGCACAACCCCUCCCCCCUUUUUCAGUAACAAUCUUAUCGUGAUCUUUGUCUA
rnacentral:lncRNA from 1 species